AGACAGUGAGCCAACUAGAAGUCCUAGGCUCCUUCUCAUGCCAACCUUGCAGUUCUUUGAGUGACCAACACUGUCAGAACAUAAAACUCUACCACCUUAAGACCAAUUGGUAUAUCUGAAGUCAUUGGGUAUGGUGAUUAUACAACCUGAGCAAGAUGAGCUUACUUUAAACUUUCCUGAAGACCAGACUCAUGGGAGAGAAAAAAAAACAAUUCAUAGCAGCAUUUGCAAUGACAAUUUAUGCUUCUCCCAAAAGCCAUGAAGACUCAGCAAAUUCCAUUCCUUUCUCUUGAAGUAAGGAGAUGUGAGAAAGAAGGGCAUGAGUUUCUCACUCGAAAGGAUACCUCUGCAUGCUUAUGGAUCGUUGAACUUCUGACGACUCCAUUGAUAAAACGAUCCUCUAGAGAUCUUUGUAAGGAUUAUUGGACACCUUCUUGUAAAAUGUUUUUAAUUAAGAUAUUAAGAACAUCUGUAAUGUGCUGUUCACCAGAUCCUGCCAAUAGAAGCUUUUGUGAUUUAUGUUGUAACAGAGAACAGGAAAGUCCACAUAUCUCAGGGGAAAUGUACGCUGCUGUCCUUCCCUCAUAAAAGACACUGCUUUGGCUGCCUUUUUCUGAUGGGAAUUAAAAACAGCGUGUUCAUGGGUGUGGUGGUCACAUAUGAGCUUCCAAAGGAGAUAUUUAUUUAUUCCAAUAAGAAUCAGCAUUCAGCCUGCAACUGUGCUAUGCCAUCUGGCUAAGUCUGUGGUGCCUCACUGUGACCACUUUUGCAGUUUCCUACAAAUGAAUUGGAUGAUAAUCAUUUUUAAAGUCUUUGAAAGUGACCGGGGCUCUCCUGGGAUGUGUUCUUCUGGUUGAUUACCUUAGCCGGGACAGAAGAAGAACAGUUUCAGGCCUUUCGCUUGGACCCUUCCAUCAUCCCUCUUAAUCCUCACAGCAGGGAGGCAAGAUGAGAAUCCAGCCAGCAGCUGAGGAUCCCCAUCCUGAUGAUGCCUGUGAGCAGGGAAGAAUAACUCAUCAGUUGGGGGUGAGAACAUAUUGGACACUCAGUGGGGUGGAUUGUGGCCAGAAUCCUGUUUGCUACCUGGUAUAUACAUAAACUGCACUCUAAUAAACUGCAACUUUG
rnacentral:lncRNA from 1 species